rnacentral:rRNA from 1 species
CAGGCCUAACACAUGCAAGUCGAACGGUAACAGGAAGCAGCUUGCUGCUUCGCUGACGAGUGGCGGACGGGUGAGUAAUGUCUGGGAAACUGCCUGAUGGAGGGGGAUAACUACUGGAAACGGUAGCUAAUACCGCAUAACGUCGCAAGACCAAAGAGGGGGACCUUCGGGCCUCUUGCCAUCAGAUGUGCCCAGAUGGGAUUAGCUAGUAGGUGGGGUAACGGCUCACCUAGGCGACGAUCCCUAGCUGGUCUGAGAGGAUGACCAGCCACACUGGAACUGAGACACGGUCCAGACUCCUACGGGAGGCAGCAGUGGGGAAUAUUGCACAAUGGGCGCAAGCCUGAUGCAGCCAUGCCGCGUGUAUGAAGAAGGCCUUCGGGUUGUAAAGUACUUUCAGCGGGGAGGAAGGCGAUGCGGUUAAUAACCGCGUCGAUUGACGUUACCCGCAGAAGAAGCACCGGCUAACUCCGUGCCAGCAGCCGCGGUAAU